rnacentral:rRNA from 1 species
AUUGAACGCUGGCGGCAGGCCUAACACAUGCAAGUCGAGCGAGCGGCGGACGGGUGAGUAAUGUCUGGGAAACUGCCUGAUGGAGGGGGAUAACUACUGGAAACGGUAGCUAAUACCGCAUACUAUCAGAUGUGCCCAUAUGGGAUUAGCUUGUUGGUGGGGUAACGGCUCACCAAGGCGACGUUCCCUAGCUGGUCUGAGAGGAUGACCAGCCAAACUGGUAAGUAGAAACGGUCAAGACUCCUAAGGGAGGCAGCAGUGGGGAAUAUUGUACAAUGGGCGCAAGCCUGAUGCAGCCAUGCCGAGUGUAUGAAGAAGGCCUUUGGGUUGCAAAGUACUUUCAGCGGGGAGGCGUUAACCGCAGAAGAAGCACCGGCUAACUCCGUGCCAGCAGCCGCGGUAAUAC